UGAAGUUCCACAGCUGGAUGUGAAGCAUUUAGAGACAGCCAGUGACAAUUCCUUCAAGGAUCUGUGCACUGAGGACCCCAGAGUAGGAAAUGCAAAUCUUGAUGUGGCUCUGAACAACUCACAGAGUGCACUUCCAAUUGCCCUCCACAUUCAGUACAGGAGAGGGGCAGACCAAGAGGUAAAGCAGUGAGGCUCUGGUGGCAGAACAACGUGAUUUGAAACCAGCAACUUUGGCUAUUUCUGGAAGAAUGUGUUUCUCCUGCAUGGCACUGGCCAGAUCUGCAUUUUCACACCCAAACUGAGCUGGGUGUGGCUGCUGAGGGCGGAUGAAAAUGCUGACACUGUGAAAACCCAGCGAGUGUUGCAAAGCCCGGAGCUUGGCACAGGCUCUACAGCGCUGCUUCCCUUUGAACUGCAGCCUUCCUUUACAGGUAGUUAAUUAGGAUGAGGUCAUUCCAAGCUCAUGUGAAUAACACUGUCUGAAAUAAUUGCCUGGAUUGCGUUUAAGAUGGAAUACUGAAGGAAUUUGAAUGUUUUAGUUGUACUGUGUGUUAAAUGUAAUGUCAGUCUGCAUUCUUGUAAGAUUUAAUGAGAUUUUCUGAAAUACCAUCACUACCUCAAGGCCUUUUCUGAGGCUAGUGGAGUAUUGUAUACCCUGACUCUCCAAGAUCCUGCAAGACUUAAUUGAUAGGUGCAAAGCUACCUAUUCCCCUCUCCUUUGCCUGGAGAAAUUUGAAUUCCUGUGUGUAUGUGUGUGUGU